GACGAACGCUGGCGGCGUGCUUAACACAUGCAAGUCGAACGAUGACGACCGAGCUUGCUCGGUCUGAUUAGUGGCGAACGGGUGAGUAACACGUGAGCAACCUGCCCUUCACUCUGGGAUAACCUCGGGAAAUCGGGGCUAAUACCGGAUAUGAGCUCCUGUCGCAUGGCGGGUGUUGGAAAGUUUUUCGGUGAAGGAUGGGCUCGCGGCCUAUCAGUUUGUUGGUGAGGUAGUGGCUCACCAAGGCGAUGACGGGUAGCCGGCCUGAGAGGGCGACCGGCCACACUGGGACUGAGACACGGACCAGACUCCUACGGGAGGCAGCAGUGGGGAAUAUUGCACAAUGGGCGAAAGCCUGAUGCAGCGACGCCGCGUGAGGGAUGACGGCCUUCGGGUUGUAAACCUCUUUCAGCAGGGAAGAAGCGAAAGUGACGGUACCUGCAGAAGAAGCGCCGGCUAACUACGUG
rnacentral:rRNA from 1 species